rnacentral:rRNA from 1 species
UACAGAGGUCUCAAGCGUUGUUCGGAAUUACUGGGCGUAAAGCGCACGUAGGCGGUCUUUUAAGUCGGGGGUGAAAUCCUGGAGCUCAACUCCAGAACUGCCUUCGAUACUGGAAGACUUGAGUCCGGGAGAGGUGAGUGGAACUGCGAGUGUAGAGGUGAAAUUCGUAGAUAUUCGCAAGAACACCAGUGGCGAAGGCGGCUCACUGGCCCGGUACUGACGCUGAGGUGCGAAAGCGUGGGGAGCAAACAGG